GACCAGACUCCUACGGGAGGCAGCAGUGGGGAAUAUUGCACAAUGGGGGAAACCCUGAUGCAGCGACGCCGCGUGAGCGAUGAAGUAUUUCGGUAUGUAAAGCUCUAUCAGCAGGGAAGAAAAUGACGGUACCUGACUAAGAAGCCCCGGCUAACUACGUGCCAGCAGCCGCGGUAAUACGUAGGGGGCAAGCGUUAUCCGGAUUUACUGGGUGUAAAGGGAGCGUAGACGGCAAUGCAAGCCAGAUGUGAAAGCCCGGGGCUCAACCCCGGGACUGCAUUUGGAACUGUGUAGCUGGAGUGUCGGAGAGGCAGGCGGAAUUCCUAGUGUAGCGGUGAAAUGCGUAGAUAUUAGGAGGAACACCAGUGGCGAAGGCGGCCUGCUGGACGAUGACUGACGUUGAGGCUCGAAAGCGUGGGGAGCAAACAGGAUUAGAUACCCCGGUA
rnacentral:rRNA from 1 species